rnacentral:rRNA from 1 species
UACGGAGGGUGCAAGCGUUAAUCGGAAUUACUGGGCGUAAAGGGCGCGUAGGCGCCUAUCAAGUCAGGUGUGAAAUCCCACGGCUCAACCGUGGAGGUGCAUCUGAAACUGAUAGGCUUGAGUAUGGGAGAGGAAAGUGGAAUUCCCGGUGUAGAGGUGAAAUUCGUAGAUAUCGGGAGGAACACCAGUGGCGAAGGCGACUUUCUGGACCAAUACUGACGCUGAGGCGCGAAAGCGUGGGGAGCAAACAGGAUUAGAUACCCCCGUA